UACGUAGGGGGCAAGCGUUAUCCGGAUUUAUUGGGUGUAAAGGGUGCGUAGACGGAGAAGCAAGUUAGUUGUGAAAUCCCUCGGCUUAACUGAGGAACUGCAACUAAAACUACUUCCCUUGAGUACUGGAGAGGAAAGUGGAAUUCCUAGUGUAGCGGUGAAAUGCGUAGAUAUUAGGAGGAACACCAGUGGCGAAGGCGACUUUCUGGACAGUAACUGACGUUGAGGCACGAAAGUGUGGGGAGCAAACAGG
rnacentral:rRNA from 1 species